rnacentral:rRNA from 1 species
GACGAACGCUGGCGGCGUGCUUAACACAUGCAAGUCGAACGAUGAAGCCCAGCUUGCUGGGUGGAUUAGUGGCGAACGGGUGAGUAACACGUGGGCAACCUGCCCCAAACUCUGGGAUAACUCCUCGAAAGAGGUGCUAAUACCGGAUACGAACUAGGUAGACAUCUGCACUAGUUGGAAAGUUUUUCGGUUUGGGAUGGGCCCGCGGCCUAUCAGCUUGUUGGUGAGGUAACGGCUCACCAAGGCUACGACGGGUAACCGGCCUGAGAGGGCGACCGGUCACACUGGGACUGAGACACGGCCCAGACUCCUACGGGAGGCAGCAGUGGGGAAUAUUGCGCAAUGGGCGAAAGCCUGACGCAGCGACGCCGCGUGAGGGAUGAAGGUCUUCGGAUCGUAAACCUCUUUCAGUAGGGACGAAGCGAAAGUGACGGUACCUAAAGAAGAAGCACCGGCUAACUACGUGCCAGCAGCCGCCGUAA